GGAAGCAAAAGUCGUAACAAGGUUUCCGUAGGUGAACCUGCGGAAGGAUCAUUAUCGAAAUACUUAUUUAGCGUUCCGUGCUAUCCCAUUGUUUUAUUUACCCUGUUGCUUCCACUGGAUGAGUUUCCAUACCUUGUGUUUGAGAAACUUUGGCUUGUGUAAGAUUCAUUCACGGCCAGCCAGUGAGAAGACCAUUUACAAAACCCUGUUAAGAACCAAUUGUCUGAAUAUUUUACUCCAAUGAAAUAAAACUUUCAACAACGGAUCUCUAGGCUCUU
rnacentral:misc_RNA from 1 species